GAUGAACGCUGGCGGCGUGCCUAAUACAUGCAAGUCGAGCGAACGGACGAGAAGCUUGCUUCUCUGAUGUUAGCGGCGCACGGGUGAGUAACACGUGGAUAACCUACCUAUCAGUCUGGGAUAACUUCGGGAAACCGGAGCUAAUAGCGGAUGAUAUUUUGAACCGCAUGGUUCAAAAGUGAAAGACGGUCUUGCUGUCACUUAUCGAUGGUUAUGCGCUGCAUUAGCUAGUUGGUACGGUAACGGCUUACCAAGGCAACGAGGCAUAGCCGACCUGAGAGGGUGAUCGGCCACACUGGAACGGGAACACGCUCCAUGCUCCUGCGGGACGCACCAGUCGCGUAUCUGCCGCAAUAGGCGAAAGUCUGACAGAACAAGCCCGCGUGAGAGAUGAAGGUCUUCGGAUCGUAAAAAUCUGUUAUGGGUGGUGAACAUCUGUGUAAGUAACUGAGCACAGAUUGACGGUACCUGGUCAGAAAGCCACGGCUAACUACGUG
rnacentral:rRNA from 1 species